AUUGAACGCUGGCGGAAUGCUUUACACAUGCAAGUCGAACGGCAGCACGGACUUCGGUCUGGUGGCGAGUGGCGAACGGGUGAGUAAUGUAUCGGAACGUGCCCAGUCGUGGGGGAUAACGUAGUGAAAAUUACGCUAAUACCGCAUACGAUCUAUGGACGAAAGCGGGGGAUCGCAAGACCUCGCGCGAUUGGAGCGGCCGAUAUCAGAUUAGGUAGUUGGUGGGGUAAAGGCCCACCAAGCCAACGAUCUGUAGCUGGUCUGAGAGGACGACCAGCCACCCUGGAACUGAGACACGGUCCAGACUCCUACGGGAGGCAGCAGUGGGGAAUUUUGGACAAUGGGCGAAAGCCUGAUCCAGCCAUUCCGCGUGCAGGAUGAAGGCCCUCGGGUUGUAAACUGCUUUUGUACAGAACGAAAAGGUUUCUACUAAUACUAGGAGCUCAUGACGGUACUGUAAGAAUAAGCACCGGCUAACUACGUGCCAGCCGCCGCAGUAA
rnacentral:rRNA from 1 species